rnacentral:rRNA from 1 species
CGGAGGAUCCGAGCGUUAUCCGGAUUUAUUGGGUUUAAAGGGUGCGUAGGCGGCCUGUUAAGUCAGGGGUGAAAGACGGUAGCUCAACUAUCGCAGUGCCCUUGAUACUGAUGGGCUUGAAUGUACUAGAGGUAGGCGGAAUGUGACAAGUAGCGGUGAAAUGCUUAGAUAUGUCACAGAACACCAAUUGCGAAGGCAGCUUACUAUGGUAUUAUUGACGCUGAGGCACGAAAGCGUGGGGAUCAAACAGGAUUAGAUACCCUGGUAGUCCACGCCCUAAACGAUGAAUACUCGAUGUUAGCGAUAUACAGUUAGCGUCAAAGCGAAAGCGUUAAGUGUUCCACCUGGGGAGUACGCCCGCAAGGGUG